UCUAAGUGUCAGCUCCUCUACAUGUUGACUUCUUCCUAGAGUCUUUCCCCCUUCAGAGACCUGAAGAGAGUCUGACAUGAGAGUUUUCUCCUUUGAAGCUAGAAGCCAGAAGACCAGGUUCUCUCUUCUUUCCAGCUCUCCCCAACUCCACUCCUUAUGCAUGAAUCCUGUCAUUACAGAUCGAAUGGGUCCUGUCGGGGGCCGGGUCCUAGAAGCUGGUGAGGGUCCUGGGCUUUUGGAGGACCAUGGCAUGUCUCUGAGGAGUUCACUCACACUCUUGGAUGGGGCCCUGGGCCUUGGAAUACUAGGACUCGGUGCUCGCCUUGUCCUGGCCCUAGCUGGACCAGGCAUGAUGCUCCUGCUGCUGUUUCUAAUGUUGAGUUUCCUGACCUUCGACCUUGUGCAUGGACCCCUGGAGUUGCCUCUGCCUCAAAGACCAACAUUUAGACCCCUUGGGGCAGGGGGUGAAGGCCCCCACUUACAAGAACCAUUGCUCCCACCUACCCUGAGCCAAGUCCUGGAUGGAUUCCUGCUCUUCACCGGCCUGGGGCUCAUCUUUGGGGCCCUGAUGCCCUUCAGUAUCUUCAGCCUUAUAAUCAGCCUACAGGCUCUGGCCGGAAGCAAAGCCUCUGUUCUCUAGGAACCAGCAGGUUAAAAGAGCCUUCUCACAGAAAACACAUGAGGAUUGUCUCAGCCUCUGCCUCUGAAUUUCCUUUCCUGCUAUCUUUAGGCCAUCCUGGGAUGAGUUGCUUGAAAAGAAGAUCCCAGACUAGUUCUAGGUCCCAGGGUUUGAAAAUGAAUGCAGAGGCCC
rnacentral:lncRNA from 1 species